GCUCUUUUCAACUCUUCAUCUUUCAUCAGAUAGAGAAAUAAAACACAAACCCUAAUCCCCAAAUUCGCUUCAUCUAAACAAUUAUUUGUUCAAUGGGGUUCGAUUUUGAACGAUGGAUACAGAUGCAGGUCCGAUUAAGGUUUGAAUCGAGAUUUUGACUUUUACCGCCUAAGUUGACAGACAUGGCAAAAUCUGGGCGGGAGACCUUCGAUUACCGCCUAGGCGCCGAUUAAUCAGCCGCCUAAUCUGACUUCUGCAACAUUGGAAGUGGGUUUAACCAUUUAGAGCUCAGUUGUCCCCUUCUUGAUUCUAUGGCACAAACAAAUUGUCAAAUGGCAACGUAUAUAAAGAAGCCAGUGAUAUGGUUUUGAUCAGGUCACUAGCUCAUGAUUAUUGCAAACAAAUUAUUUUUGAGAUUUCCUUCUUUUUCUUUAUGGAGUGCAGAGGACAUGGUGUAUGGGAGUAUUCAUGAUUCAUAAUCUUAUAGACUCUAUGCU
rnacentral:lncRNA from 1 species